rnacentral:lncRNA from 1 species
UUCAGAUGUGACUUUAAUGUCACAUUCAGCGGUUUAUGCACAGAACUGUGGAUGUGGAAGCUGAAUUUAUACUGGUGCCUCCAAGCUGGCACUCUGAGUGCAAAUAAGCAGUGGCUAUUGCAUUAUUUAUUGGACCUGAAAGAAACCUCCAAUAUGAUCUAGUUCAGCCACCAAUUUAUGCGUGAGAAAACAAAGGACCAGAAAGGUAAAUCAAGUUACCUAAUACUGCACAGCUGACCUGGAGGCUCACCAGAAUUGAAAGCCAUUCUUCGGAUUCUUCAUCCACUG